CGGUUAUUGGGCGUAAAGCGAGCGCAGGCGGAAGAAUAAGUCUGAUGUGAAAGCCCUCGGCUUAACCGAGGAACUGCAUCGGAAACUGUUUUUCUUGAGUGCAGAAGAGGAGAGUGGAACUCCAUGUGUAGCGGUGGAAUGCGUAGAUAUAUGGAAGAACACCAGUGGCGAAGGCGGCUCUCUGGUCUGCAACUGACGCUGAGGCUCGAAAGCAUGGGUAGCGAACAGGAUUAGAUACCCUGGUAGUCCAUGCCGUAAACGAUGAGUGCUAAGUGUUGGGAGGUUUCCGCCUCUCAGUGCUGCAGCUAACGCAUUAAGCACUCCGCCUGGGGAGUACGACCGCAAGGUUGAAACUCAAAGGAAUUGACGGGGGCCCGCACAAGCGGUGGAGCAUGUGGUUUAAUUCGAAGCAACGCGAAGAACCUUACCAGGUCUUGACAUCUAGUGCAAUCCGUAGAGAUACGGAGUUCCCUUCGGGGACACUAAGACAGGUGGUGCAUGGCUGUCGUCAGCUCGUGUCGUGAGAUGUUGGGUUAAGUCCCGCAACGAGCGCAACCCUUGUCAUUAGUUGCCAGCAUUAAGUUGGGCACUCUAAUGAGACUGCCGGUGACAAACCGGAGGAAGGUGGGGAUGACGUCAAGUCAUCAUGCCCCUUAUGACCUGGGCUACACACGUGCUACAAUGGACAGUACAACGAGGAGCAAGCCUGCGAAGGCAAGCGAAUCUCUUGCUGUUCUCAGUUCGGACUGCAGUCUGCAACUCGACUGCACGAAGCUGGAAUCGCUAGUAAUCGCGGAUCAGCACGCCGCGGUGAAUACGUUCCCGGGCCUUGUACACACCGCCCGUCACACCAUGGGAGUCUGCAAUGCCAAAGCCGGUGGGCCUAACCUUCGGGAAGGAGCCGUCUAAGGAGGGCAGAUGACUGGGGUGAAGUCUACAACC
rnacentral:rRNA from 1 species